AUUGAACGCUGGCGGCAGGCCUAACACAUGCAAGUCGAGCGGAUGAAGAGAGCUUGCUCUCUGAUUCAGCGGCGGACGGGUGAGUAAUGCCUAGGAAUCUGCCUGGUAGUGGGGGACAACGUUUCGAAAGGAACGCUAAUACCGCAUACGUCCUACGGGAGAAAGCAGGGGACCUUCGGGCCGUGCGCUAUCAGAUGAGCCUAGGUAGGAUUAGCUAGUAGGUGAGGUAAUGGCUCACCUAGGCGACGAUCCGUAACUGGUCUGAGAGGAUGAUCAGUCACACUGGAACUGAGACACGGUCCAGACUCCUACGGGAGGCAGCAGUGGGGAAUAUUGGACAAUGGGCGAAAGCCUGAUCCAGCCAUGCCGCGUGUGUGAAGAAGGUCUUCGGAUUGUAAAGCACUUUAAGUUGGGAGGAAGGGCAGUAAGUUAAUACCUUGCUGUUUUGACGUUACCAACAGAAUAAGCACCGGCUAACUUCGUGCCAGCCGCCGCGGUAAAAC
rnacentral:rRNA from 1 species